rnacentral:rRNA from 1 species
CCCGCGGACGGGGGAAUAAUGCCUAGGAAUCUGCCUAGUGGUGGGGGAUAACGUUCGGAAACGGACGCUAAUACCGCAUACGUCCUACGGGAGAAAGCGGGGUGACCUUCGGGCCUCGCGCCAUUAGAUGAGCCUAGGUCGGAUUAGCUAGUUGGUGAGGUAAUGGCUCACCAAGGCUACGAUCCGUAACUGGUCUGAGAGGAUGAUCAGUCACACUGGAACUGAGACACGGUCCAGACUCCUACGGGAGGCAGCAGUGGGGAAUAUUGGACAAUGGGCGAAAGCCUGAUCCAGCCAUGCCGCGUGUGUGAAGAAGGUCUUCGGAUUGUAAAGCACUUUAAGUUGGGAGGAAGGGUAGUAACUUAAUACGUUGCUACUUUGACGUUACCGACAGAAUAAGCACCGGCUAACUUCGUGCCAGCAGCCGCGGUAAUACGAAGGGUGCAAGCGUUAAUCGGAAUUACUGGGCGUAAAGCGCGCGUAGGUGGUUCAGU